rnacentral:rRNA from 1 species
GACGAACGCUGGCGGCGUGCUUAACACAUGCAAGUCGAACGGGGCUUGCCCUUUGGGGUGGGUUUAGUGGCGAACGGGUGAGUAACACGUGGGUAAUCUGCCCUCAGCUCUGGGAUAACUCCGGGAAACCGGGGCUAAUACUGGAUAUGACUACUGGUGACAUCGCCUGGUGGUGGAAAGAUUUUUUGGCUGAGGAUGGGCCCGCGGCCUAUCAGCUUGUUGGUGGGGUAAGUGGCCUACCAAGGCUCGACGGGUAGCCGGCCUGAGAGGGCGACCGGCCACACUGGGACUGAGACACGGCCCAGACUCCUACGGGAGGCAGCAGUGGGGAAUAUUGCGCAAUGGGGCGGAAGCCUGACGCAGCGACGCCGCGUGAGGGAUGACGGCCUUCGGUUG